UACGAAGGGUGCAAGCGUUACUCGGAAUUACUGGGCGUAAAGCGUGCGUAGGUGGUUCGUUAAGUCUGAUGUGAAAGCCCUGGGCUCAACCUGGGAAUGGCAUUGGAAACUGGCGGCCUAGAGUGCGGUAGAGGGUAGUGGAAUUCCCGGUGUAGCAGUGAAAUGCGUAGAGAUCGGGAGGAACAUCUGUGGCGAAGGCGACUGCCUGGACCAGCACUGACACUGAGGCACGAAAGCGUGGGGAGCAAACAGG
rnacentral:rRNA from 1 species